UCGUAAGUACCGCAGUGCGC
rnacentral:sRNA from 1 species